AUUGAACGCUGGCGGCAGGCCUAACACAUGCAAGUCGAGCGGAUGAAGGGAGCUUGCUCCUGGAUUCAGCGGCGGACGGGUGAGUAAUGCCUAGGAAUCUGCCUGGUAGUGGGGGAUAACGUCCGGAAACGGGCGCUAAUACCGCAUACGUCCUGAGGGAGAAAGUGGGGGAUCUUCGGACCUCACGCUAUCAGAUGAGCCUAGGUCGGAUUAGCUAGUUGGUGGGGUAAAGGCCUGCCAAGGCGACGAUCCGUAACUGGUCUGAGAGGAUGAUCAGUCACACUGGAACUGAGACACGGUCCAGACUCCUACGGGAGGCAGCAGUGGGGAAUAUUGGACAAUGGGCGAAAGCCUGAUCCAGCCAUGCCGCGUGCGUGAAGAAGGUCUUCGGAUUGUAAAGCACUUUAAGUUGGGAGGAAGGGCAGUAAGUUAAUACCUUGCUGUUUUGACGUUACCAACAGAAUAAGCACCGGCUAACUUCGUG
rnacentral:rRNA from 1 species